CUCCGCUCAAGAAGGUCGUGUUCAGCUCUAGCUCAGUUUGGGCUCGCGUACGUAAUUACCGCUACUCACGGGCCUCGAUCGUUGGCUUCGUUCCACUGUGGCCAAAACCAAAUCCCCACAAAAUACCAUUAAGAAAUCAUCUUCAAAUUGGAUUAAUAAUCUGCAGAUCAAUCUAUCCAUAUCCUUGCUUAAAGGCAAUUAAGGAAGUAAUUUUGUUACCGAAGCUCUUCGUGGAU